CGGGGGCUAGGUUAAGUAAAACUUUGGGUUUCCAAAACCUGAGAUGGGAAAAGUUUCUCGUUCCUGG
rnacentral:tRNA from 1 species